AGGGCCUUGCGCUUCCUAGGUAAGCGCUCUACCACUGAGCUAAAUCCCCAGCCCCCACAUAAAUCUUAAUUAAAAAAAAAAAUACCCUCUUAAUAAGAUGACCUUGAAUGUCUGGUCCUCCUGCCCUGUACAUCCUGAGAGCUGGGAUUACAGACGUAAACCAUCACCUGGUUUAUUCAGUGCUAAGUGAUGGACCCAAUUCCUGUGUAAUAGGCAAGUUGACUCCAUCAACUGAGGUUGUCACCAGCUUCAUAGAUUUUUGGGACAGUUGAGAAAUGGGGCAAAUAUUCAUUAGUCUAAGCUAAAAAGUACUCACUAGUAGAAGGGAAGAUUUAUGUGGCAAAAUGGUACGCAACCUAAUAGAGAUGAGUGUGUAGUUACAGGAGAGCAAGUGCUAAGCUCUAACAGCAAAUGGGUGAAGGAUGCAAAGCCCAGGUGGGCGCUGGGAAUCGGGAAGGUUUUCUGAGAAGUGUUCUUAGUAGAUCAGAGUGGUCUGGAAAGUACAGCUCGCAUCCUGUCGCCUGCUGCUGCUUUACAACAGUGAGUGCCGUCUUGCCCUUGGUGUCUUUCAGUGCUGAGGAUGGGAUGUGCUCUUGCACAUUUACAUCAGCAAAGCUGAAAAUACUUAAUCUUUUACUGAGAUGAAAUCUUUUACUAAAUGUAAAAGUGAGAGAACAAGAAAAGAAGGGAAUGGAGUUGGUGGUUUUUAAUUUUUAAUUUGGUGAAGCCAGUGAGGUGGUCUUGUAGGUAAAGGUGUUUGCCGCUGACCCUGGCCUGGGCUAGAUCCCCAGAAGCAUGAGGGUGGAGGGAGAAAACAGCUCCAUGAGGCCCCUGACGUACACACACACACACACACACACACACACACACACACACACACACACACACGCGCGCAGGAACAGAGCUCUCUCCAGUAGAUUUGAAAAAUCACAACACUUUGUAUUGUCCAAAUAAAUCCAUAUCCAAUUUACAUUUCCCCAAGAAAAUGCUGUUUUAAAAAAGGAUUUAUGUGCAUUUAUUUGUGUGUGGGUCUGUGCUCAGGUGCAGGUGUCUGUGUGUGUGUCUGUGUGUGUCUGAGUAUCUGGGUGGGUCUCUCUCUGCACAGGUGUAGGUGUCUGGGUGUUGCUCUGUGCACAGCUGUAUGUGUGUGUGUGUCUGCACAGAUAAGGGUGUCUCCUGAAUAUUUUUCAUCUAGACCUGGAUUCCUCCCAAGACUGCAUUGUUAUUGCUUCUCCUUUACUCAUUUGGAUUUCUUGAGUAACCUUUGAGAUUUGGUCAGUUACCUUUAUUUCCAAUGCAACAUGAUCACAUGACAACUUGUGGAGUUGUGGGAUUGAACUGAAGUGACCAGGCAUAGUGGCAGUCACUUUUGCCCCAAGCCAUUCUACAAGCCUCAUACAAGCCCCCCCCCUUCUCCCCCCUUCCUCCCCCUUCUUUUUUUUCCCUUUUUUGACACAGUGUUUCUUUCGUGUGGCCCAGGCUGUCCUUGAAUCCCUUCUUCUGCUAUCAUUUUUACCCAGUUCUGGAGUGGCAGUGUGGCCCUUUGUACCACAGUUGUAAGUUUUUGUCUUUUGUUUAGGCAGGGUCUUGCUCUGAGUUGAGCCUGGCCUCUGCCUGUCUCAGUCUCCUUCAUGUGUGCAUGCGGCCAAACACGACUUCUGCUUCACAAAGCUGGGAUUGCUCUUGCAGCCGAGCUCUGUCCCUGGGUCCCCUUUAAAAGUUGUCUGGGCAGGCCUUGAACUUGUGAUCCAGCCCCCUGAGCCUCUGAGGGCGCCUGGCCCAGUAGCAUCCUUUAACUAGUUCUGUUUUAUUAAGCAAGAGUUUUAAUUGAGGUUAACAGGUUCUGAGAAUAGAAGGCAUCAGGGUGGUCUGGAAAGAUGACUCAGCCGUUGCUCUUCCAGAGGCCCUGAGUUCAAAUCCCAGCAACCACAUGGUGGCUCACAGCCAUCUGUAACGAGAUCCGAUGCCCUCUUCUGGUGUGUCUGAAGACAGCUACAAUGUACUCAUAUAUAAUAAAUAAAUCUUUAAAAAAAAAAAGACAUCAGGAGAGAGCCUCAUUUUGGG
ensembl:lncRNA